CAGAGCACCACCCCCGGGUUUUGCUUCUCAUUUUGAGAGAAUGGAACAAAAUUUUGACUCUCUUCAUGCGAAUAACUUGCGUGAUGCCUCCUCAUUGCACAAUCUACACCAGGCUCCUCAAGUUGGACAUGUGAGUAAUGGAGAUAUUGAGUUUAUGGAUCCUGCUAUUCUGGCAGUUGGUAAAGGGUUUCCUAAUGGCCUUCAUCUCUCAAACUUGGACAUGUCUUCAAGUUGUCCUCCACAAUCAAAUACUUUACAAAAUGAGGGAAGGCUUCAAUUACUGAUGCAAAGAUCUGUAGCUGCGCAUCAGAACCAGAGUUUUUCUGAUACGAGGAAUAUGUUUUCACUGGUCAGUGAUGCUUAUGGAAUGUCUUCCCGGGGUGUGGAGCAAACUCUGGCCAACAAUCAUCCCCCAUUUGAUGGAUUUUCUUCUAGGGCUCUGGAGCAAACUCUGGUCAACCAUCAAUCUCCAUAUUCACAGCUCACUCUUUCCCUGGGUAGAAACUCUGUCAUGUCAAAUGGCCACUGGGACAGUUGGAAUGGGGUUCAGAGUGGAAACAGUUUGGGUGUAGCGGAACACCCCCGAACAGAAAAUAUGGGCUUUAACAAGGUAUUUACCGGAUAUGAGGAAUCAAAGAUUCAUAUGCCCAAUUCUGGCAAUUUGUAUAAUAGAACAUUUGGGAUGUAAUUUUGGAUCAGUGGUUCUUUUGAGCUGAGUAGCUAUUAAAGAAUCAAUGAACCAGAAUGAUCACGUGAUUUAACUGAAUUGAUCUUAUGAUGUUCGAAUGACUAAGAGGACACGAGGAAACACAACAGUCUUGCUCUCUGAAAGGCGAGGUUGGUUCACGCCGUCUGCAUGAAGUUGGCUUUCAGAUUGGUGAAGGAACAACCCUCCUAGAAAAAGGGUAUCCAGAAACCAACAGUUGAAAGCUGAGGUCGAGGCUCAACAUGGUGGUUUAGACACAGCUUCAUGCUUGACUGAAUAGGCAGGUGAUUCUCCUGUCAGCGUCCUUGGAUGUGGGUGGAGAAUUUGGUCAUCUAUACACAUUAGAAUCAGAAAAAAGAUUAUUGAACACAGCUCAUUUUUUUUUCUUUCAAGAAAGCAAUAAUGCUGUAGCUUGUUUGCGGGAAUGCAAGUCAUGUUCCAACUAUGAGAUGGAUGAGAUUACUAGUGCAUUUUGACCAGAUAAACAUCUCAUUUUUAGUUGAAGAUG
rnacentral:misc_RNA from 1 species